UGGGGAAUAUUGCGCAAUGGGCGAAAGCCUGACGCAGCGACGCCGCGUGAGGGAUGAAGGUUUUCGGAUCGUAAACCUCUGUCAGAAGGGAAGAAACCGCACUGUGCUAAUCAGCAGUGCCUUGACGGUACCUUCAAAGGAAGCACCGGCUAACUCCGUGCCAGCAGCCGCGGUAAUACGGAGGGUGCAAGCGUUGUCCGGAAUCACUGGGCGUAAAGGGUUCGCAGGCGGAAAUGCAAGUCAGUUGUGAAAGGCAGAGGCUCAACCUCUGUAAGCAAUUGAAACUGUAUUUCUUGAGAUGUGGAGAGGCAAGUGGAAUUCCUAGUGUAGCGGUGAAAUGCGUAGAUAUUAGGAAGAAUACCGGUGGCGAAGGCGACUUGCUGGACACAAACUGACGCUGAGGAACGAAAGCGUGGGUAGCAAACAGG
rnacentral:rRNA from 1 species